rnacentral:rRNA from 1 species
UACGUAGGGCGCAAGCGUUGUCCGGAAUUAUUGGGCGUAAAGAGCUCGUAGGCGGUCUGUCGCGUCCGUUGUGAAAACUCGAGGCUCAACCUCGGGUCUGCAGUCGAUACGAGCAAACUAGAGUGUUGCAGGGGAGACUGGAAUUCCUGGUGUAGCGGUGAAAUGCGCAGAUAUCAGGAAGAACACCCGUGGCUAAGGCGGUUCUCUAGUACGGUACUGACGCUGAGACGCGAAAGCGUGGGGAGCGAACAGG